AUUGAACGCUGGCGGCAGGCCUAACACAUGCAAGUCGAACGAGUGGCGGACGGGUGAGUAAUAUCUGGGACACUGCCUGAUGGAGGGGGAUAACUACUGGAAACGGUAUCUAAUACCGCAUACCAUCGGAUGUGCCCAGAUGGGAUUAGCUAGUAGUUGGGGUAACGGCUCACCUAGGCGACGCUCCCUAGCUGGUCUGAGAGGAUGACCAGCCACACUGGAACUGAGACACGGUCCAGACUCCUACGGGAGGCAGCAGUGGGGAAUAUUGCACAAGGGGCGCAAGCCUGAUGCAGCCAUGCCGCGUGUAUGAAGAAGGCCUUAGGGUUGUAAAGUACUUUCAGCGGGGAGGCGUUACCCGCAGAAGAAGCACCGGCUAACUCCGUGCCAGCCGCCGCGGUAAUAC
rnacentral:rRNA from 1 species